AUACUUUCUCAGCUUUUUGGCUAAGAUCAAAUGUAGUAUCUGUUCUUACUAGUAUAAUAUCUAAUAUGUUCUCCAUCCAAGACAAUAUAUUAAAUGGUUUUUUGGAAAAAGCAGGUGGAAUAGGAGUUUGCUCUGUCCACUCCAUGCAUUGACCUGGUAUUGCAGUACCUCUAGGAAUGGUGCACCCCUC
rnacentral:snRNA from 1 species